UGGGGGAUAUUGCGCAAUGGGGGCGAACCCUGACGCAGCAACGCCGCGUGAAUGAAGAAGGUCUUCGGAUUGUAAAGUUCUUUUAUUAAGGACGAAGAGAUGACGGUACUUAAUGAAUAAGCUCCGGCUAACUACGUGCCAGCAGCCGCGGUAAUACGUAGGGAGCAAGCGUUGUCCGGAUUUACUGGGUGUAAAGGGCGUGUAGCCGGGAGGGCAAGUCAGAUGUGAAAUCCACGGGCUUAACUCGUGAACUGCAUUUGAAACUGUUCUUCUUGAGUAUCGGAGAGGCAAUCGGAAUUCCUAGUGUAGCGGUGAAAUGCGUAGAUAUUAGGAGGAACACCAGUGGCGAAGGCGGAUUGCUGGACGACAACUGACGGUGAGGCGCGAAAGCGUGGGGAGCAAACAGGAUUAGAUACCCUGGUAGU
rnacentral:rRNA from 1 species